AAAGAUAAGAUGAAAUAAAGCUCCAAACUAAGUCAUAUCAGAGGUAAUCAGUAGUAGAACAAGAGGGAAUGGCUCCAAGAUGCAACUGGAUCAAAAAGGACAGAGAGGUGAAGGAAACUUGAAGAGACAAUUCUGGAGUACGACUACAAAAUCUGACUUGCCGGUUUACUUACAUGUCACUGGAUGCAGGAACUCUAUGCCC